AGAGAGAAAAUGGAGAGACAAUUCUCACCUAUUUUCCCCAAAAAUAAACCCAUUUUUCACUUAAUGAAUAUUUAGUUAUAAAGUCAUUUAUAUAGUCACUUCUUUAAGUGACCUAAAUAACCAAAACCCUAAUUCAUUUCAUCAUGGCCAUCCAUUUAAGGGAUUUUUGGGCUUUUGGGCUUUAAUGAAUCUUUAUUCAUUAAAUUGUCAUACAACUUAAGUUAAUGGGCUUGACGUUCGAAGCCCAUUGGGCCUUAAGGUCCAAAACUAUCCCGAAGUCUUUAACGAACUUAUUCGUUUGAUUAAUUAACAUAUUAAUUAAUCCUUGCCAUAAAUAAAUGAUUAAACCAUUUAAUCAUUCUUACUCAUUUCCGUUUAAUCUCCAAUCUCCACCUUUCACGGUGUGCGAUCCAUUAGGUUCCUUUUAGCGAGGUAGUGGGCGAUUAAAACCAUUUUACAUCGAUUGUGAAUUGAAACUAUUUUCAAUUCUCCCUUUAGUGAUUACACACGUUUAGGGCUUCCACAAACCAUGAGUGACACCUAGCAGCAUAUCAUGGUUACCCAAGCUAAUCAGAAGAGGUUAGAGAACCUAUUCAGUUCGAGAUUACAAAUGCAAUACGGUCCUUCUCUAAUCUAAUACUCUUGACCACAUUGUUUGGUUUGAUAGUUUAUUUUCUCAUGUCUACUAUCCAAUGUGUGUCUUGUGCUUAUAUGAUUACCUUGAAUGUGAUUGGGAACGCAUUCCUAAAUCUCAUUCAUACUCUGGCCAGAGAUUCAAAUCAUAUCAGAGAGUAUUCUCCCUCAAACGGUUUGAAGGUUAGAGAUCCCUUGUUGCGCAUUCACUUGUCUCCAUAGCUAAGCGGCUUGACCCCAACGAUGCCGUGGACACCCUCCUGGUGGGAUGACUUUGACAUAAUCAAAGAUCAAGGUCUUAACCACAAGACAACUAUGAUGCCUCAGGUCAAAGGACUACUUUGCAUUAUCCCAACCAUGAGUUCUUAUGUGACAUGGAAUAUGAGAACUCUUCGUUGAUCGCGUUCAGUGAACUCAUUCUCUAUUGAGCACCUACCGUACUUGUCUUGAUGUCACACACACCAAUGAUUCGAGACUAAUCACUCUCCCUGAGAGAAGACAUAGUACGUACCGAUCUUGACGGACUGUCAAUGCCCAAUUGGCAAUCCUAUGAUCAGGAACGUUUAGGAUGUGUCUACGAAAGAAUGGUCUCAUGAAUCUAACUUCAUUAGAUUACAUUCUCCCAAUCACAUAUUCCUUGGACUUUAUCGUUUAAGCAUAUAACAUUUAUAUGAGACGGCUCAAACAAUAAUCUUUGCCCUUUAUAUGUAAAACUAGAUUAGUUUAACAUGUGAAAUGUCCGUAAAGUAUCAUCACAUGAUUGGCUUUAGGGCACAUUUCCAACAAUCUCUCACUUGCACUAGAGCCAAUCAGCUUGAUCAUCAAUGAUGAUAUCUCUUUUGUAGUCAUUUCAUAAAUGGCUGAAUAGUAAGCCUAGGCAGUGGAUAUCUAUAUGUGUUAUCCAUAGAAGCAACCUUGAGAAUAACGACGUCACCAUUAUACAUGAUUCUCAAUCAUGUGGUUCAGUCUCUCAUUUGUGUUCGGAUCUUGAUGAGACCUUGAUUCCCAGGCUUGAGCUAUCGCCCCAUUAGUGUCAUACACUUUCUGGUUGGAACCGAAUAGAGAGUUCAUAAAUGAACUUUCCCAUCCAAACAACAUUGUUGUAAACUUCUAUAUGGCAAUAUAUCUUGCAUUCAUAAUGGAACACACUAAAGUCAUUACUUUAAUAUUUCCAUCCAAAUAUCUCUUUAGUCAUAAUAAAGAGAUAUCUGUUUAUCUCUUCAUUCAUAAUGAAGAAACAUCCAAUGAUGGAUUAGAUUCAUAAUCUAAUACAUUUACGCUUCCAUUACGUUACUUUGAUUCUUCCUCGAUCUUUGAGGAAUUUAUCCUUUAGUAUUUCUUAAAUACUUAAGGACUCACUUGACAGUUGCCAUGGUUCUGAUCCUGGGCUUGCACUGAUAUCGUCUUGUACCGUUCUAGGUACAACUCAUAUCAAUGUUUUUCAUACAAUAUGAAAUACAUAAAUCACCUUUCUGCGUAUGCAUAAAGGAUUCAAUUUACGCAUUAUUUCUUUGGGAGUCAAAGGGGCACGUUCCCUUUGAGAAGGGCAACUGGCUAGUCUUACUAGAGUCAUCCUUCUAAUUGAAGUUUAUCAUCAUAUGAGAAACUUCCUAGCAUCCAUUGUCUAUUAUUAGGGAUUGAUAUAAUCCAAUUAUAUCAUGAAAUAUAUCAUUAUAGAUUUCCAUCCCAUGUAUAUAGACUAUAUCUCCCAUAUACAUUCUAUCUUCAUAUAAUGUAUUAAAGUCAUAACUUUAACAAAGAAGUAUUCUUUUCAUUUCCAAAAUUAAUAUAUCAUAUAUAUUUAAAUUUUUUAGGAACAUGAUUAACUCCCACUAAUCUUUUGUAAAACUAGUAAACAAAAGAUUCAUUUACAUCUUUAUGAUAAAUCCAACGAUUUGAUCCUUUUCUCAUAAAAUGCAAAUAGCUCCCAUUAAUUUGCUAAGAUCCAUGAUGGAUGGAUCUCUACAACUUACAUGUCUUGUGAUUUAUAGUUUAGACAUAUAUUAUUAAGACUAUCUUAAUAAUGGUUUCGGAAACCCAUAUUAUGUCAAAACAUUGAAUCACCAUUUAGUUGUAGCUAGCAAUCUUCGAAUUUAUUGAAACUAAGACUACGUCAAAAAUGGUUCCUUUAAAGUCAACCAUUCUAUUUGAUUGUAGUCACCUUAAGCUACCAAUUAGCUUUCAAGGUUUCAUUAUUUCGAGUCAAAUGGUACCUUACCAUUUCCUUGAGUAUAUAUCGUAUAUGCACUCAAUGUAGUCAUAAAGUUCAAAACCAUUCAACUGAGACGGUUUAUAAAUCUUUAUCGACUACCUUGGAGCUUGUGGUAUAGGAACUAGGUUGUUAUAUUUGUUGAUUAUUAUCUUGUCUCUCAAAGAACCCAUUCUUUGAGUUCUAUCUCUCGUUCAUUUGCUUUUAGGCAAAUCACAUUGUAGAAUUACAAUGAACUACCCAACAAAACAACAUUUGUUAGUUGGUUUAUAGAAGCGAUAUCCAAAAGUUAUUUUAAGGAUAUCCUACAAGAUUAUUAUCAAACAAAUAUUGCUUGUUAGCACAUAACCCCAAAUCUUUAACAUGCUUAAGAUUUGUCUUUCUUUUCCAACUACAUCUUAUGGAGUCAUGAAAAUACUGGAAGAUCUUCUCAUUGACAAUCAUAUUGUUUUAGAAGUAUAUAUCCUAUAUAUGGGUAAUAGAUAACAUCUAACGAACUAAAUCUUAUUCGAGUUCGUUCUUCUCCUAAUGGAGAAAUAUAUUAUCUUAUGAUGCUAUUUUCCUUGAUAUCUUUCAAAGAAACUCAUCUAAAGUGUUACCUUUCCUUGGAUCAAAUCUAAGGAGGUAAAUACUUUAGAUGUCUUACUCAUCAACUUACAUUACUUGAAUUCUUUGAAACAUUUUACAAAGUAUUCGGACUUGUGUUUAUUCAAAAUAAACUAUAGUCCAACCGAGAGUGAUCUUCGGUGAAUGUUAUCCAACAUGAGUAGUAUUAUGUUUGUGGACAAGUGCCACUAACAUCUAAGUGAAUUAACCUUAACAACUUUGUGAUUCUUUCUUCUUUCCAAAAGAAUAAAGAUUCGAACAUUUCGCCUCUAUACAAUUUUAACAAGAAGGUAUUGGAUCCGGAUCUAACGAUCCAAAGCGUCCAUCUAUGACCAACUCGUAAUUUAUGUUUUAGAGGUAUCACAACUUUAGUUGAGAUUAGUCACUACCUUGCAACCUUUUGGGUUUUAAGCAUCAUUAUUUUCUAAACAGUUAACACUACCAUAUUAUCUCUACUAUAGAGACAAUUAAUUAGAUUACCAUAAUCUAAUCAUUGAUUAAUAAAGAACAUUGUUUUGUCAAACAAAACAUUUAUCCAUUUCACAUAGUGACGGAAUUUUGUUCCUUAAAAUUGGAAUAUAAAGACAAUCUAUGUUUUUCCAAUUUCUUUGGUAGUUCAUAUGAGGAAGUAAGUACCAUCUGCUUUCGCAGAGAUCUACAUUUGAUUCACGCUUCGAAUGUGAAGCACCUUCUCUUCUCUCAUAUAUCUUCUACUUCUUAUUAGUCACACUUUUACAACGAUUGUAAAACAUAGUCACUAAUACGGAAUCAUGCAUUCAAGUAGAAGAACCAACUGUUUUGAACUAUUCAAGAACAAUUUACAACACCUUCGAAAGGUGUGUCCUUGACACUUGCAAGACAUUUCUUGCAAAUACCCCUUCCAAUGUCCAUCCUUUCAUAAAGAAAGUUUGUUCCCUUGGAGUUAUUUAUCUUCUUUAUUUGACUUUCACCUUUGACUACAUUAGUCAUUGUCCCUAAACUCCCACUAUCUCUCUUGAAACCUUUUUUUUUUUAAUUGUGUUAUACACAUCAAACAAUUUUGGAGAGCAUGUGGUUUUUGUUCACUACAUAGUUUACAAUAAACUUAGUGAACGAUUAGGAUAGGGAAACAAAGGUGAAGUCCUUGCCUAGUUUCCGUCUCGUUAAGUGGUUUAUCACUUCAACACUUAAUGAUUCAAAAUCAUCAUAAGUCCAUGUUAAUGGACUAUUUUUGUCAACCAACCAUUAUGUUCUAAACAUAAUUACAAACCUUCAAGAGUUGUACAAGGCAACUCUCAUUUCUUCAUACAACAAUUGUAAAUGAAGAAUCAUGGCACAUUUAAGUGUUCAUGCCUUUGUGCUUUCUUCUCAAGUUCUUUGUUCAUUUAACAAAGAAACAAGCACUAAGUGUUUGCAUUGACUAAGAGUUGUUCAAAGCAACUCCUAUUUCUUCAUACAACAAAUUGUAAUUGAAGAAUUAUGACAUUAAAAGUGUUGUCCUCUUUAUGAUAGACCUUUUCUAACAUAUUCUUCUAAUGAUACAUUAUCAAUAGUAAGAUUGUGAGGAUGAGACUACUUUGGUACUUUUACAAGCCAUUAAAGACAAUAUAUGGUUUUGUAGUACCAAGUCCGUAAACUAAACGUUCGGUUUUGUCAAGUGUUGGAUAGCGUUUGCAAAUAUAUUGGUAAUCAAAUACAUAACGAAUAUAAAUUGAUUGAUUUUAAGCCAUUUGAUUUGGGUCUUUAAAUCAAAUAGCACCACCCACUAUUUUUGGCAAAUUCCAUAUCCCUCAUAGGAAUUCGAGAGUUUUGGAUGAAACUCCUAGUAGGUUAUGGGAGGCUCACUAUUACCAAGCCCACCUCACGAUGAUACGAUAUAUGGCUAGCAACAAUAAUAAUGAGAGAGUACGCUUACUCAUUUGCAACUCAUGCAAGUACCCAUCUUAUUUGGCCCCUAGAGAAUGUAACCUCACAAUGAUAUGAUAUUGGUUCCAUUGCACUUAGUUAAGUUCUUCCCACCAUGCUUAGUGUGUGUGAAGGGGUUCAAGAAUAGCCUCACGAUGAUACGAUAUAUAGCUAUCCUCGUUGCCUACACUCACCUCAUCAUAUGUAUAUGGAUUCCUCCUGAGUAUAAGCAUGCACUGUGUACUCCCCCAUGAUAGGGUGAAGCCGGGUGUACAAGUCAUAAACGAUUGGAUCCCACCACGGUGGAAGGCCACGAAGAGAUAUUCUAAACAUCUCUCGCUUAUCAACUUAAUAUUGGUUUGAUUGAGGGUUUUAGGUCUCAUCACAUAAAAACAUACAUUUUAAUCUUUAUUAAAACUAUUUUGGUCCUAUUACAACUAUUGGUCCAUCCCUUUGUUUUAGUUGUACAUAAUACUCCCACUAUGCUUUUAAAACGAUUUUUUAAAGCAAGAGUAUAUGAUACUACUAACAUAAACUUUGCAUUCAUUUGAUGGACUACAUAGUUGCCUUAGGGCCUAAGGAUGAUUAUGAACCUUUGUUUAGAUUCAACACGAGCCUUGUGUUGAACCUCGGUCUAGGAAUGAAGAUUGAUUUUAGUUACGCGUUUAAUCACAUUAAGGCGUGUUGUCUUAUGGGCGUUGGACCCAACUACUUCAUUUUCAUGCAUAUCGUAUAAAGCAAGAAAGAAGUACUUCAAAGUAAAGGUGAGCUUAUGCUCAUUACAACAUUUGCAUAUAACAAAUUACUUUAAAGUAAAGAAGAGCUUAAGCCUUUUUACAACAUUUGAUCAAAUCAAAUUACAACCAAAAUCUAAUCUACACAUUCCCAUGGUUCAAACAAAUUUGAAACGCCUUUCACAUAGCUCAAUUAUAUUAGGCUUAGGUUCAUAAUCACCCUUUAAUUAAUUAACACUUUAACUAAUUAAUGAAUGCAACAUUUUCAUUUGGUUUUUUUGUAUCCAUAAAAUUGAUUUAAAUGGAGCUAACAAAAUGAAAAUCCAAUUCUCAUUUAAAGAGACAAAACAAUUUUGUUCUCAUCCUAUUUGGGCCAUCAUCAUGCAAUUAACCUCAACUUUUGGGCCAUAUUGCAAUAACAAAAACUUUUGGGGUCACUUUGUAUAUAAUACACAAAAGUCACAACUUCAUGUAAAUACAACUAGAACCCAAACUUUUAAUAAUGCAAAAACUUCAUUAAAGGAACAAAACAAUUUGUCCUUUAGCAUUUUUGGACCUUAACGUAAAAACGUAAACUUUUGGGCCAAAGUGCAAAUACACAAAAGUAUCAAAACUUUAUAUAAUUGCAUAAAAGCCCCAAAAGUACUCCCUUUGAGGGAGUGGCUGGUUUUGGGGAGGGAUAAGGUUGGUGUGUGUGUUGAUUUGUGAGUUUUGUCAAAAACAUGCAAGUGUAUGUAAGAUAAGAUAUGUUUUUGAAAUAAUUCAAACACAAUUAUUUCAAUCAUCAUUUAUACAAAUAUUUAAUACUUUAAAUACAUAAUAAAUCAUUUAAAAACAUAUCACAUAUACUUUAUGAAAUAAUUCAAAACUUUGAAUCAAAACACCAAACCUUUUUGUUCUUGGCAAGAACAUCAAGAACAAUGAAGAACAUCCAUGAAAACCCCAAAUUUUUCCAUGAACUUUUUCCACCCAAAAAACAUUCCAAAACCAUUCUUACUUAAGGGAAAUAACAUCUAACCAAACUAGGGUACUUAGGGGUUCCAAAGAACACAUUAAAACACUUUUAACAAGUCAAACAAGAACCCAAAAAUCCACCCUUUGGUUUUGGCCGAAUUUUCCCAAAAGUAUGGCACCAAAUUUUAGCUCCAAUAUUCAUGCUCAUAUGAACAACAUCUACAACAUUUGAGAUAGCAAAUUUUCCAACAAAAUUUACUUUCAAAGAAGCAAGAAUAAAGCUUGUAACAAUUACAACUUUUAAAUCACAAACUUAUGAACUACAAAACCCAAAAGGAUUCACCAACUACUAGACCUAGGCUCUGAUACCACUUGAAGGAUUUAUUUUGUAAAACAUGUUCAUUUGAGCAACAUCAUAUAGCAUGCAAUUAACAAUUAAAGGCGGAAUCAUGCUUACAUGCACUCAAAAACAAAACAUUUACCCAUGAAAUUCAAAGCCUAGUAGAUUGGUGAACCAAUAAUCAACUCAAAACAUAAGUGAGUUGAAAUUAAUACCUUUGUAGAUUCCUCUUUGCAUAAGCAAAGGCUAAUCACCCAAAGAGAUAAGGGCCUUCAUUCCUUGCUUCUUAGAUCCAUGGAUUUGGAUGGAAGAAUAGGUUCUCCAAGUUCCCAAAAUUGAGAACCUCUAAUUCUCGACACCAAGGUUCGAUUGUAGAAGAAAUGAGUGACCUUGGAGUAGUAGGAUUGCUAGAUGUACCCUCCAAGGUGUUGGCCUCUUUAGAGAGAAAAUGGAGAGACAAUUCUCACCUAUUUUCCCCAAAAAUAAACCCAUUUUUCACUUAAUGAAUAUUUAGUUAUAAAGUCAUUUAUAUAGUCACUUCUUUAAGUGACCUAAAUAACCAAAACCCUAAUUCAUUUCAUCAUGGCCAUCCAUUUAAGGGAUUUUGGGCUUUUGGGCUUUAAUGAAUCUUUAUUCAUUAAAUUGUCAUACAACUUAAGUUAAUG
rnacentral:lncRNA from 1 species